rnacentral:lncRNA from 1 species
GUGGAUGGAUUUUCGAACAUGUCCUCGAUGCUUAUAUGUUGUUGCUACGAGACAGAGAGGAAUACUACAGGUCACGGGGAAUAAAAAGGUGGGCCAAAUUUGGUUUUCUGAAUUCAUUCUUCAUGCAUCUAGGACAGAGCUAUGUGCCCAUAACUAAAGAGAUUGAUACAUUAUGUUUUUGCAAUCCGUAUGUGAACCAAGAUGUUGGCCCACCAUUACACGAAUGCCAAUACAUAUUCAUGCCGGUGUGUAGUACCCAUCAAAGACAUUUUGUCUUAUUACUAUUUGCAGUUCAAGAUUGGAUGGUUACGAUAAUUGAUCCGUACUACGAUGAUACCAAACAUAUGAAGUUACAGGAAAUGUACGGAGAAUUUGUUAAAGUUGCGGUA